ACUCCUGGAGUCCUACUGUUAAACAGACUGAAAAAGAUACAUUAUUAGGUAAGGAAAACGCACCUAUAUGCAUUACGCAAUCCAUCGAUCGGUUGAUCAUCCAGAACAUUUGUCUGUUCGUUCGUUUGUUUGACGUCUCGCCUCGGCCGCCCGCCUGCGUCACUGCGUGGUUGUGCCUCCGACCCUAACCCCUAUGCGCGGUGCACCUGCAUUAAUUGGAGAUUGUCCAGGCCGUGAAUCCGUGUCCCUGAUCGCCCAUUCGCUCAAGGUAAUUUGAACAUUGCGUGCCUACGUACAUAUUUGUCUAGUGCCCUAGUCCUCUUAAAUCAGUUGAUCUAAUGAUUCUUUACAAUCUUAGGUGUUACAAUGCCGCCGAGACAAAAUUCUGAUGCUGCGAAAAGAAACAAAAAAAACAAGAGAAUCAACUCAUUGAAUCAUAAAAAGGUGCUUUAAAUAGUUUUUUUAUGGUAACUAGUGUUGAUAAUCAAAGGCAAGAAUCUCAACCGGACAAGAUGAUGAUCCUGAAGUCAAUGAACAUUCCUUGGAUGACAGUAAGUAACUAACUAACGUCGAUUUUUGUAGAAGUAAGUAAGUAACUAAUAACAUAUUGUAGUAUUUAAAUGCAGAUACCGAUGCUGACAUUAAUGAGUACAAUACGGGAGAGAAAAGUUAUUGUCAAGGAACUCAUAAGAAUUUGGUUCUUAUUUGAGAUAAUCAAACUAACAGAGAAUAUUAUUUAUUAUAUUUCGCUACUCCUUUAUUUCUUUUGUCAUGAUAUGGCAUAACUUAAGCGCUUAUCAAUUAUGUAUAGACAUUUCUAAAUAAGAAUGUGAUGUUAAAUGUAAACUUUAAUAUUUUGUGCAUGUAUAUUUAUAGAUGCGUAUAAAUUUAUUAUCCGUAAGGGUCUAUUUUAAACUUCGUCCUGGGCCCAAAAAUAUAGAGCCGGCCCUGCGGACACUCCCUCCCUGUGUGCCGGCGGCCGCAGAAGCCCGAAGCCGGAGCAGCAGCUUCUUUCUCCGGCGCCAGUGUAUGGUAGGGGCGGCGAAAUCCGGAGCAGCAGCCGCCGUGCCGGCCGCGAGGAGCAGCAGUCGCGCCGGCCGCGCGUGGGAGCGAGCAUCGGCGCCCAGGCCGCGCCGGCCAUGAGCAGCGGCGCCCAGGCCUCACGUGGGCGUGAGAAGACGCGACGAACAUGAGCAGCGGCGCCCCGACCGCGCGUGGGCACGAGCAGCAGCGCCGGCUGUGCGUGGGCGCGAGUAGUGCCGCCGACGGCCAUGCUCCAUGUGAGCUGCUCGGAGUGGGGCACGGCAGCUGCUGCUGGCUUGACGCCGGCAAGCUCGAGCUCCACCGCCGGCGCAGAGAUAGUCAACGAGGGCCUGUUUGGGACUACUCCACUUCAAAAAAAUCAGCUUCACUCCACCAACUUCACUUUAGAGCAGUUCCACCAAGAAGUUGUAGCUCCACCUUGAAGCAGUUUUAUACUGUUUGGCUUUCAGCUAGUUUCAACUUCAAAAACAGUAGUAUUUGAUGGAAAUAGUCUAUUCUGCCCCUAUUUUUUUAUGCAUAAUGUUUUGACGGCCCAACAUUUGUGCAUCUUGAGAUAUUUUUUAAAGUCUUGUAGAUCUAUCAUAAAAUUUAAGUGAACUAUAAAUGGCAACCAUAAAAAAAUGGCAUAAGAUUUAAGUGAACUAUUGUAAAAUGAUGUAAACUAUUGCGAUACAUAAUUAAAAAGAUCCACAUGAAUGUCCAACGAUACAAUUGUUCUACUCCCUCGAAGAAAAAACAUGCAAAUAAAACCCGGACCAUCUUUAACAGUAGAAAUCUAGUUUCAACCAUCGGCAAUAGCGGUGGCUAACUCAUUACGGAAUGUAUCCAUGGUCGGAGCAUCAGGUUCGGUUGUAGAUCUAUCAGAGGCAGCAACAAAUUUGUUAUACCUGUUCGGUAUUGUAGGCACAUAAUCAGGAUCACGGUCGAACCGAGAAAAGUCCAAGUCUUCGCUUUUAUGCUCACGAAUAAAGUUGUGAAGGACCAUAGUAGCAACAACGAUCAUUUUUUGCUUGAACAUCGGGUACGGUCGCAUCAUAUACAGAAUCUGCCACUUCAUUUUUAGCACUCCAAAUGAUCGCUCAAUGACAUUGCGGAUAGAUGAAUGGACUCGGUUGAAUUUUUUCGUUGGAGUUUUUGGCUCCAUACCUCUACGCCAUUCUGGCAUAUGAUACUUCUCACCCUUAUAAGGAGCUAGGUAUCCCAGACGAUUGGGAUAUCCCGCAUCAACAACAUAAUAUUUGCCUAUAAAAGAAGAAAAUGAUAUCAUCUAUUUCUGGUACAAACAUUUGAUAUUUAAACAAUUAGUGAAUUGUAUGAUCAUAUGCUAAAAUGUUACCUUUUGGAGGGUGUGGGAAGAACCUUUCAUCAACACUUAUUGCAUUGUAUAACACACUAGUGUCAUGCAUAGCUCCUGGUUGCCCCACAGACACAUAAGUGAAUAGCAUGUCAAAGUCACAAAUUGCAAGAACAUUUUGAGUCGGUAUCCCUGAUUUCCCAAUAUAUCUGAUACUAUCCUCGGGACAGAGAGACACUGAAAUAUGUGUGCCAUCAAGUGCACCAAUGCAAUCUUUGAAGUGUGGGUACGCCCGCCUAUCAUCUUUUAUCCUCUUAUGAACAGUGGGGAAGUUGGGGUUUUUAGGUGUAAUGAAAUCUUUUGCCAUUUUCAUCAAACAGUUGAGAACCUCAUCGAAUUUCCUACUAAUGGUUUCUCCUGAGUGCUUGAAACGAUUUUGACCUCUUUUGUUAGACUCAUUGCCACCACAAGUGAAUAGGAAAAUUGCAAGACUUUCAUAUGUGCUCACAUGCAUGGAUGGUUCUAACCCGUACCUUCGCACCAACAAGUCAUGAAGGUCCAUGAACACUUCCAUGUUCAUGCGAAGCUGUGAAAGGCAUUCGCCCGGAGUCCUCAAAGUCUCUUGCAACCAUCCCAUACCACUUAGAAUUGAUGUCCUCGGUGGGUUCUUAUGAAGAUAUUGAUCACAAUAUACUUGUGCAAGUGUAGCAGCACCCAAAACAAUAUUCAAAAACUGGUUACUAUCAUCAUCGGAAUCAUCGCUAUCACUUUCAGAUAUCUGCAUAUAGCACAAUAAUAAAAACCGACAAAUAUUAGUUGACAUAUGUAGCGCAAAUGUUUUAGUGCGAAUGACAUACAACGGUAAAAUAGUUCACUCUGACAUACAUAAACCAAAUAGUUCGAAUGACAUACAAUGGUAAAAUAGUUCACUCCGACAUACAUAAACCAAAUAGUUCAAAUGACAUAUAACGCUAAAAUAGUUCACUCCGACAUACAUAAACCAAAUAGUUCAAAUGACAU